AGCGAGGAAUAUCAGACUCCCUUGGUGGAUGUGGACACCUAAACUGUGGACAUGGAAAAGAUAGUGAAUUUAUCCAUUUCGGUUCUGCUGGUUUUAUGGGGAUGCGCGCUCGGGGGCUCGCCCAGUGUUCAAAUUGGGGGACUUUUUCCAAGGGGUGCGGAUCAAGAGUACAGCGCAUUUCGGAUAGGAAUGGUUCAAUUUGGCACCUCGGAAUUCAGAUUGACGCCUCACAUUGACAAUCUGGAAGUGGCGAACAGUUUUGCUGUUACCAACUGCUUCUGUUCACAGUUCUCAAGAGGAGUGUAUGCCAUUUUCGGAUUCUACGACAAGAAGUCUGUCAACACCAUCACAUCAUUUUGUGGGACGCUCCAUGUCUCAUUCAUAACGCCCAGUUUCCCUCUGGAUGGAAAUCAGCAGUUUAUCAUCCAGAUGAGACCUGAUAUCAAGGGGCCCCUCCUCAGCCUCAUCGAGUACUACAAGUGGGACAAGUUUGCCUACCUGUACGACAGUGAUCGAGGCCUGACAACGCUGCAGGUUGUUCUUGACACAGCAGCAGAGAGGAAGUGGCAGGUGACAGCCAUCAAUGUGGGAAACCUUAAAGACGAGAGGAAGGAUGAGGCCUACCGCUCACUGUUCCAAGAUCUGGAGAACAAGAAAGAGAGGAGGGUGAUCCUGGACUGUGAACAGGACAAAGUAAAAGACAUCAUGGAUCAGGUCAUCACAAUUGGCAGACAUGUAAAAGGCUAUCACUACAUUAUAGCCAAUCUGGGUUUCAUUGAUGGGGACCUAUCCAAAAUCCAGUAUGGCGGCGCCAACGUGUCAGGCUUUCAGAUUGUUGAUUUUGAUGAUCCUUUGGUGUCCAAGUUUGACCAGAGAUGGGAGGCCCUAGAAGAAAAGGAGUAUCCUGGUGCUGACAAUAAAAUAAGGUACACAUCAGCAUUGACCUACGAUGCCGUGCAGGUGAUGACGGAGGCCUUCCGCUACCUGCACAAACAGCGCAUUGAUUUCACCAGGAGGGCCAACAAUGGUGACUGCCUGGCUAAUCCCGCUGUACCCUGGGCUCAGGGAGUCGAGAUAGAGCGAGCACUGAAACAGGUGCGUGUGGAAGGCCUGACAGGUAACAUCCAGUUUGAUCAACAUGGCAAGCGAGUCAACUACUCAGUAAACAUCAUGGAAUUGAAGACUAACGGCCCUGUAAAGAUUGGAUACUGGAAUGAAGUUGACAAAAUGGCUGUCACCAAAUCUGAUGUCUUUGCCAACGACACAACAGGAAUGGAAAACAAAACAGUUAUUGUCACCACCAUCUUGGAAGCUCCAUAUGUAAUGCUGAAAAAGAACGCCGACCUUUUUGUGGACAAUGAGCGCUACGAGGGUUACUGUGUAGAUCUGGCUGCGGAGAUAGCAAAGCACUGCGGCUUCAAAUAUCAACUGAAAAUAGUGGGUGAUGGGAAAUAUGGAGCCAGAGAUGCAGAGACCAAAAUCUGGAAUGGGAUGGUUGGAGAGUUAGUGUAUGGGAAAGCAGACAUUGCAGUGGCUCCUUUGACCAUCACUUUGGUACGAGAGGAGGUGAUUGACUUCUCCAAACCCUUCAUGUCCCUGGGAAUCUCUAUCAUGAUAAAGAAGCCUCAGAAAUCCAAACCAGGAGUUUUCUCUUUCCUGGACCCACUGGCAUAUGAGAUCUGGAUGUGUAUUGUUUUUGCCUACAUUGGUGUCAGCGUGGUGCUGUUCUUGGUCAGCCGCUUCAGCCCAUAUGAGUGGCACACUGAAGAGUACGAGGAUGGGCAGAUACAGACCAAUGAGUCGACUAACGAGUUUGGCAUAUUCAACAGCCUGUGGUUCUCUCUUGGAGCGUUCAUGCGCCAAGGCUGUGACAUCUCACCUAGGUCUCUGUCUGGUCGUAUUGUUGGUGGCGUUUGGUGGUUCUUCACUUUAAUCAUCAUCUCCUCCUACACGGCAAACCUGGCUGCUUUCCUGACUGUCGAAAGGAUGGUCUCUCCCAUUGAAAGUGCAGAGGAUCUGGCUAAACAGACAGAGAUAGCCUAUGGGACUCUGGACUCUGGCUCCACUAAAGAGUUUUUUAGGCGCUCAAAAAUUGCCCUCUUUGACAAAAUGUGGACAUACAUGCGCAGUGCGGAGCCCUCUGUGUUUGUGAAAACCACAGCCGAGGGGGUUCUGAGGGUCCGCAAGUCCAAGGGGAAGUAUGCUUACCUGCUGGAGUCUACCAUGAACGAGUACAUCGAGCAGCGAAAACCCUGUGACACCAUGAAGGUGGGAGGCAACCUGGACUCCAAAGGCUACGGGAUCGCCACGCCGAAAGGAUCCUCAUUAAGAAAUGCGGUUAACCUCGCAGUACUAAAACUGAAUGAGCAAGGCCUGUUGGACAAAUUGAAAAACAAAUGGUGGUACGACAAAGGAGAGUGCGGCAGCGGGGGAGGUGAUUCCAAGGUCAGCCCCAGUGAGCAAAGUGAUGGGUAACUCAAUGCAACUCCCAAAAGUAAGCAGCAAACCAGCACAGGAUCCCAAUUCACACUGACAGCAGGCCAGUCACCUGCUGAAUCAGCUGCCCAGAUAGCAACCCUCAGCAGUGUUAAUCAUAGCACGUACACAUUCUGUAGCUGACAAUUAGGUCUCUAAAGAAAUUGUACCAUGAGUUCAGUAGCUUGGACUCUUCCCAUUGGCUCACUGUACACAGACAUACAGUAUAUCUGCUGCCCUUGCUGCGUACUUCAGGCGAUACGUUAAUGCACAUUUGGCUCUGCAAAACUCGCUUUUGCUUAGGCCAAAUGGCGCAUCAACGUCUAUCGCCACUGCAACGGAAAGAAGAGAAAGAAAUAACGCCAGUAAACCUUGCAGUAUUGAAACUCAGUGAGCAAGGCGUCUUAGACAAGCUGAAAAACAAAUGGUGGUACGAUAAGGGUGAAUGUGGAGCCAAGGACUCUGGAAGUAAG